rnacentral:rRNA from 1 species
CAGUCGCCGCGGUAAUACGUAGGGUGCGAGCGUUAAUCGGAAUUACUGGGCGUAAAGCGUGCGCAGGCGGUUUUGUAAGACAGGCGUGAAAUCCCCGGGCUCAACCUGGGAAUGGCGCUUGUGACUGCAAAGCUAGAGUGCGGCAGAGGGGGAUGGAAUUCCGCGUGUAGCAGUGAAACGCGUAGAUAUGCGGAGGAACACCGAUGGCGAAGGCAAUCCCCUGGGCCUGCACUGACGCUCAUGCACGAAAGCGUGGGGAGCAAACAGGAUUAGAUACCCCUGUAGUCCCUGUCUCUUAUAC